GGAGCUCUUCCAUUUUCCCAUAUAAACGACCAUCGACGCGAACGGCAGCGCCUCUGCUUAGUUAAGGUGGCAACCCAGCAUCACGGUGGUAGUGAAAUUUUCACCACUCUGAGAUGGUAUGUGUGCGCUCUUUCGCAGGUGCGUAGCUGUCAACUAACCAAAACAAACCAUCUCUCCGCACCAAAUUUUCUCAUCCGGCAGCUCCCACUUUUAAUUUAUGUUUUAAAGCAAAUUAACAGUAUAAAAAUACAUACCGCCAACUCAAAUUGUUUUACUGAACCGCGCAUAGUCCCGUGGCAAAUCGAAUCAACACCCGUCAGCUGAAUGCAAAGGUUGUCAGGCAAUGCAAAUGUUUCCGUCGUAAUCUGUGCCCGCAGUAUAUGGCCUUACCGAUCGGUGCUCGAGCAGGAAAUAGUGCAUCAAAUCCGAAGUGUCUCAUGAUUCUGGAAUACUAUUUGUGCAAUGACUUCAUAGCGGAGUGAGCAAACGAUUCUGAUACGAGCCAAGUAUAUGCCAGGACGAAACAGAAAAUGAUUCUAUACCGCUCUAGUUUCGAUCAUUAUGGAAACGAUGACUUUCCCCGGGCUUCGCUCUUCAAAAUUACCUAAAGUUAUUGGGUCAUGAUAUCCAAGUCGAUGUAGACGAUACUCAGGCAUGGUGGCAUGAUGCAGAGCCUGGAAUACCUGUUUCAGCGAGCUAUCUUACGCGCUGUGUUAAUACGCUACAUCUUGUUGACACUUUUCGGCCGGAAAAGAGCCUGCUACUCAACUUGCUAUUAUAUGCACUACCACAGAGUUUUUUUUGUUUUUUCAUUGAGCGCACAUCGCGUAGAGGCCAAUCCGUGAUUGGAUGAAGUCCGAUUCUCUGUGCAAAUUGGACAAAGAACCUAUGAAUGGGUUUUGGCGCCAACCCUGAUUGUGGACAGAUCGAGAGCUUCUAGCUUUGAUAAUGUCGAAAGCGAUGCUAGCUUCGUCUUAACGGUCAUCAGUGUAGUACAGAUUUAUUAUAAAAGGACGAUGCAAAAAUUGAAAUAAAAAACUUUUGUGGGAUAUGA